rnacentral:rRNA from 1 species
AUGGCUGACGUUGAUGUCGACCCCGAGGUGGCGGCCGCCGGCCCCAAGAAGAGGACGUUCCGCAAGUUCAGCUACCGCGGCGUGGACCUCGACGCUCUCCUCGACAUGUCCAGCGAGGACCUCGUCGGCCUCUUCCCUGCCCGCGCCCGCAGAAGGUUCUCGAGGGGUCUGAAGAGGAAGCCGAUGGCGCUCGUCAAGAAGCUGCGCAAGGCGAAAAGCGAAGCCCCUGCUGGUGAGAAGCCUGAGCAAGUGAGGACCCACCUCCGCAACAUGAUUAUCAUGCCUGAGAUGAUCGGAAGCGUCGUGGGCAUCUACAAUGGCAAGUGCUUCAACCAGGUGGAGAUCAAGCCGGAGAUGAUUGGGCACUACCUGGCAGAGUUCUCCCUGUCGUACAAGCCGGUGAAGCACGGGAGGCCUGGUAUCGGUGCCACCCACUCGUCGAGGUUCAUUCCUCUCAAGUGA